rnacentral:rRNA from 1 species
AGUGAACGCUGGCGGUAGGCCUAACACAUGCAAGUCGAACGGCAGCACAGUAAGAGCUUGCUCUUACGGGUGGCGAGUGGCGGACGGGUGAGGAAUACAUCGGAAUCUACUUUUUCGUGGGGGAUAACGUAGGGAAACUUACGCUAAUACCGCAUACGACCUACGGGUGAAAGCAGGGGAUCUUCGGACCUUGCGCGAUUGAAUGAGCCGAUGUCGGAUUAGCUAGUUGGCGGGGUAAAGGCCCACCAAGGCGACGAUCCGUAGCUUGCCUGAGAGGAUGAUCAGCAACACUGGAACUGAGACACGGUCCAGACUACUACGGGAGGCAGCAGUGGGGAAUAUUGGACAAUGGGGGCAAGCCUGAUCCAGCCAUACCGCGUGGGUGAAGAAGGCCUUCGGGUUGUAAAGCCCUUUUGUUGGGAAAGAAAAGCAGCAGGUUAAUACCCAGCUGUUCUGACGGUACCCAAAGAAUAAGCGCCGGCUAACUUCGUG